rnacentral:rRNA from 1 species
UACGUAGGGGGCUAGCGUUGUCCGGAAUCAUUGGGCGUAAAGCGCGCGUAGGCGGCCCUGUUAGUCCGCUGUAAAAGUCAAAGGCUCAACCUUUGAAUGCCGGUGGAUACUGCAGGGCUAGAGUCCGGAAGAGGCGAGUGGAACUCCGUGGUGUAGCGGUGGAAUGCGCAGAUAUCAGGAAGAACACCAACGGCGAAGGCAGCUCGCUGGGACGGAACUGACGCGUAAGGCGCGAAAGCGUGGGGAGCGAACAGGAUUAGGAAACCC